UAUUGUUCUUAAACGAGGAAUCCCUAGUAAGCGUGAGUCAUCAGCUCACGUUGAUUACGUCCCUGCCCUUUGUACACACCGCCCGUCGCUACUACCGAUUGAAUGGUUUAGUGAGACCCUCGGAUUGAUAAUUGGGAACCGGAAACGGUACCCUCUUGUUAAAAAGUUGGUCAAACUUGGUCAUUUAGAGGAAGUAAAAGUCGUAACAAGGUUUCCGUAGGUGAACCUGCGGAAGGAUCAUUAAUAAGAUCGUCCGGGUAACCGGAAUUUGUAUAUAAAAACCAACACUUUUUAAUUAUAAUCUUUUUUAAAAUAAAUAAUUUUAAUAUUAAACAACUUUUAACAACGGAUCUCUUGGUUCUCGCAUCGAUGAAGAACGCAGCUAAGUGCGAUAAGUAAUGUGAAUUGCAGAAUUCCGCGAAUCAUCGAAUCUUUGAACGCAAAUUGCACUCUUUGGUAUUCCUGAGAGUAUACUUGCUUGAGGGUCAGUGAAAUAGUUAUCGUGAUAUAUUUUUUUAUCGCGGAUUUGAGCAAUAAUCCGAUUAUAUAUAUUUCGGUUGCUUUAAAUUUAAAAUAACAUGGUAUAAUGUUUUAAGAUGUACUAUUUAAAAGAUGGAUCAUUGAUGACUUUAUACCGAAUAUUAUGUGAAUUCUUUUUUUUUAAAGAGGUAACAUAUAUUUUUUAAGUUUUGACCUCAAGUCAAGUAAGAGUACCCGCUGAACUUAAGCAUAUCAAUAAGCGGAGGAAAAGAAACUAACAAGGAUUCCCUUAGUAACGGCGAGUGAAGUGGGAAAAGCUCAAAUUUUAAAUCUGUCUUGGUGAAACCAGGCAGAGUUGUAAUUUGAAGAAACGUAUUCAACGUCAUGGAAUGAUCAAAAUCCUUUGGAAAGAGGUAUCAUGGAGGGUGAUAAUCCCGUUCAUGGUCAAACCAGAAGCGUUACCUAUGCGUUUUCUAAGAGUCGAGUUGUUUGGGAUUGCAGCUCAAAAUGGGUGGUAAAUUUCACCUAAGGCUAAAUAUUUGCGAGAGACCGAUAGCGAACAAGUACCGUGAGGGAAAGAUGAAAAGAACUUUGAAAAGAGAGUCAAAAGUACGUGAAAUUGUUAAAAGGGAAACGAUUGAAGUCAGUCAUGCUUGCAAGUAAUCAGCUUAAGGUAUUCUUUAAGUGUACUUUCUUGUCUAGCAAGUUAGCGUCGAUUUUAAUUAUCUUAAAAUAACUAGGGGAAUGUAACUCCCUCGGGAGCGUUAUAGCCCUUGGUAAGAUGAGAUGAUUGAGAUCGAGGAUUGCAGCGAAUGCUCAUUAGGGCUAGCAACUUAAUCUCUGAAUGGCCCCUGGUUAUAAACAGCUUGCUGAUUAUGAUUAGGUUAGCUUAUCAAAAGGUUUAGUUUGCUUAAAUUCGUUAAGGAUGCUGACGUAAUGGCUUUAAACGACCCGUCUUGAAACACGGACCAAGGAGUCUAACAUAUAUGCGAGUGUUU
rnacentral:rRNA from 1 species